rnacentral:rRNA from 1 species
AUGAACGCUGGCGGCGUGCUUAACACAUGCAAGUCGAACGGGAAACCUUUUAUUGAAGCUUCGGCAGAUUUAGCUGGUUUCUAGUGGCGGACGGAUGAGUAACGCGUGGGUAACCUGCCUUAUACAGGGGGAUAACAACCAGAAAUGGUUGCUAAUACCGCAUAAGCGCACAGGACCGCAUGGUCCGGUGUGAAAAACUCCGGUGGUAUAAGAUGGACCCGCGUUGGAUUAGCUAGUUGGCAGGGUAACGGCCUACCAAGGCGACGAUCCAUAGCCGGCCUGAGAGGGUGAACGGCCACAUUGGGACUGAGACACGGCCCAGACUCCUACGGGAGGCAGCAGUGGGGAAUAUUGCACAAUGGGGGAAACCCUGAUGCAGCGACGCCGCGUGAAGGAAGAAGUAUCUCGGUAUGUAAACUUCUAUCAGCAGGGAAGAUAGUGACGGUACCUGACUAAGAAGCCCCGGCUAACUACGUG